CCUACGGGUGGCAGCAGGGAGGAAGAGUGGUCAAUGGGCGCGAGCCUGAACCAGCCAAGUCGCGUGAGGGAUGAAGGUUCUAUGGAUCGUAAACCUCUUUUAUAAGGGAAUAAAGUGUGGGACGUGUCCUAUUUUGUAUGUACCGUAUGAAUAAGGAUCGGCUAACUCCGUGCCAGCAGCCGCGGUAAUACGGAGGAUCCGAGCGUUAUCCGGAUUUAUUGGGUUUAAAGGGUGCGUAGGCGGCCUUUUAAGUCAGCGGUGCAAGUCUGUGGCUCAACCAUAGAAUUGCCGUUGAAACUGGGGGGCUUGAGUAUGCUUGAGGCAGGCGGAAUGCGUGGUGUAGCGGUGAAAUGCUUAGAUAUCACGCAGAACCCCGAUUGCGAAGGCAGCCUGCCAAGCCAUGACUGACGCUGAUGCACGAAAGCGUGGGGAUCAAACAGGAUUAGAUACCCUGGUAGUC
rnacentral:rRNA from 1 species